rnacentral:pre_miRNA from 1 species
AUAAUACUCCCUCCAUCUGGAAUUACUUGUCAUCAAAAUGGAUGUGUCUAGAACUAAAAUACAUCUAGAUACAUCCAUUUCAAUGACAAGUAUUUUCGGACGGAGGGAGUAGUAG